CGCGGGUGCAGCUCCGCAGACGCGGCUCUCGGCCGCAGCCCGCGCUGCAGGUGCCUUUCGGCCGGCGCUGGGUGGGUGGAGGGUGUCCCUGCGGCUGCGGCGGCCCUUCGCGUUGGUCCCGAGCCGACUCGAGCCGGGCCGCAGCGUCUCCUCCUGUCCCCGCCGCGACGGUCCCGGUGCCCCGGAUGAGCCCACUGUGUGCAGAAGUGUCAUGGUUGUUGUAUCAGGAACAUUCUAGACCCCAGUGUCCUUGAGUUUGGAGAAAGAUGAGAUCACAUUGGAACCCAAACACCUGUUGUGACCACCUGCCCUGUGGCGUCGUCCUUACUCUAGGAGGGCUGCCUUGGAUCUGGAGAUUGUUGGAGGAAUUCUGAGGGGAUGGAGGCACUGGUGCUCUCGGAUUGACCUUGGUCCCAGCUGUCCUGGAGGGACCUCAUCAUGAUUGUCGUUUGGGUGGAUCAUGGACAUUGGAGUAGCAUAAUGAAGAAAGCUGUUGCCGUGUGAACGUUGCCAGACCUUCUCACCAUGUUGCCUCAGCAAAGCAUGGAAGGGCUUUUCUCUCUGUGUAAGCAGGCCAGAGGGAAAGCCCUGGGACCCUGGAAGCUUGAGGUGUGGAGCCAGAGACUUGAGCUGGCUCUGCCGUUCCCCCCUGCAGGAGUCAGAAUGCCAUGGACCAGGAAGACUGGUUUGCUUCGACCUGGGCCAGGUUGUCCAGCGGCAUCCAUGUCUCCCCACCUUCUCCUCCUCUGACUUUUCAAGAGUUUUCAGCACUGUGCAUCCUUGUCCUCUCACCUGCCUAAUAAAUCUUGAAACUACCCUGAA